GAUGAACGCUGGCGGCGUGCCUAAUACAUGCGAGUCGAGCGAACGGACGAGAAGCUUGCUUCUCUGAUGUUAGCGGCGGACGGGUGAGUAACACGUGGAUAACCUACCUAUAAGACUGGGAUAACUUCGGGAAACCGGAGCUAAUACCGGAUGAUAUUUUGAACCGCAUGGUUCAAAAGUGAAAGACGGUCUUGCUGUCACUUAUAGAUGGAUCCGCGCUGCAUUAGCUAGUUGGUAAGGUAACGGCUUACCAAGGAAACGAUGCAUAGCCGACCUGAGAGGGUGAUCGGCCACACUGGAACUGAGACACGGUCCAGACUCCUACGGGAGGCAGCAGUAGGGAAUCUUCCGCAAUGGGCGAAAGCCUGACGGAGCAACGCCGCGUGAGUGAUGAAGGUCUUCGGAUCGUAAAACUCUGUUAUUAGGGAAGAACAUAUGUGUAAGUAACUGUGCACAUCUUGACGGUACCUAAUCAGAAAGCCACGGCUAACUACGUG
rnacentral:rRNA from 1 species